UACGAAGGGGGCUAGCGUUGCUCGGAAUCACUGGGCGUAAAGGGUGCGUAGGCGGGUCUUUAAGUCAGGGGUGAAAUCCUGGAGCUCAACUCCAGAACUGCCUUUGAUACUGGAAGUCUUGAGUUCGGGAGAGGUGAGUGGAACUGCGAGUGUAGAGGUGAAAUUCGUAGAUAUUCGCAAGAACACCAGUGGCGAAGGCGGCUCACUGGCCCGAUACUGACGCUGAGGCACGAAAGCGUGGGGAGCAAACAGG
rnacentral:rRNA from 1 species